GGGCCCGCACAAGCGGUGGAGCAUGUGGUUUAAUUCGAAGAUACGCGCAGAACCUUACCAACACUUGACAUGUUCGUCGCGACUUUAAGAGAUUAAAGUUUUCGGUUCGGCCGGACGAAACACAGGUGCUGCAUGGCUGUCGUCAGCUCGUGUCGUGAGAUGUUGGGUUAAGUCCCGCAACGAGCGCAACCCUCACUUUUAGUUGCCAUCAUUAAGUUGGGCACUCUGAAAGAACUGCCAGUGAUAAGCUGGAGGAAGGUGGGGAUGACGUCAAGUCCUCAUGGCCCUUACGUGUUGGGCUACACACGUGCUACAAUGGUAUCUACAACAGGAAGCAAGACUGCGAAGUUAAGCAAAUCCUUAAAAGAUACCUCAGUUCGGAUUGCACUCUGCAACUCGAGUGCAUGAAGCUGGAAUUACUAGUAAUCG
rnacentral:rRNA from 1 species